AUGACCAUGUCCACCAUGGCCUGGUCCCCUCUGCUCCUCACCCUGGUCGCUCACUGCACCGGAUCCUGGGCCCAGGCUGUGCUGACUCAGCCACGCUCCGUGUCUGGGGCCCUGGGCCAGAGGGUCACCAUCUCUUGCACUGGAAGCAGCAGCAACAUCGGGAGUAAUUAUGUGAGCUGGUACCAACAGGUCCCAGGAACAGCUCCCAGACUCCUGAUCUAUGAAAAUCGCAAACGACCCUCGGGGGUCCUGGAUCGCUUCUCUGGCUCCAAGUCUGGCAACUCGGGCUCCCUGACCAUCACUGGGCUCCAGGCUGAGGACGAGGCUGAUUAUUACUGCUAG